UACGUAGGGGGCAAGCGUUGUCCGGAUUUAUUGGGCGUAAAGAGCGUGUAGGCGGCCAAACAGGUCAGCUGUGAAAACUCGAGGCUCAACCUCGAGACGUCGGUUGAAACCGUUUGGCUAGAGUCCGGAAGAGGAGAGUGGAAUCCCCGGUGUAGCGGUGAAAUGCGUAGAUAUCAAGUGGAACACCAGUGGCGAAGGCGAGUCUCUGGACAUUUCCUGACGCUGAGGCACGAAAGCCAGGGGAGCAAACGGG
rnacentral:rRNA from 1 species